rnacentral:rRNA from 1 species
CCUACGGGUGGCAGCAGUGAGGAAUAUUGGUCAAUGGCCGGAAGGCUGAACCAGCCAUGCCGCGUGAAGGUCAGUGCCCUAUGGGCGUUAAACUUCUUUUGUGCGGGAGCAAUAAUGGCCAUGUGUGGCCAGACGAGAGUACCGUACGAAUAAGCAUCGGCUAACUCCGUGCCAGCAGGCGCGGUAUUACGGGGGGUGCAAGCGUUUUCCGGAUUUAUUGGGUUUAAAGGGUGUGUAGGAUGGGAGGUAAGUCAGCAGUGAAAUGCCCCCGCUCAAAGGGGUGAAGUGCCAUUGAUACUGCCUUGCUGGAGUGCGGAAGACGUAGGAGGAAUGUGUGGUGUAGCGGUGAAAUGCAUAGAUAUCACGCAGAACACCGAUUGCGAAGGCAUCUCACGAAUCCGCGAUUGACGCUGAUGCACGAAAGCGUGGGUAUCAAACAGGAUUAGAUACCCCAGUAGUC